rnacentral:lncRNA from 1 species
CUUUACCUUGCUCCGAUAUUGGAGUUGAGCCCAUACACAGAAAUCGAUUCCUUAUUGUUUUGAGAAAGUAUUACAUGGGUUGUGCUCUUGGGGGUUUCAUUUAUGUCGAAAGAUGGAUGGAACAUGUGUAUUACAAUGAAAUGUGAAUUUGAUGGGUGGUGUAGCCUUUGCAGAUUUAUGCAUAGCUUUGCAGAUUUGUUUUUUUCGCUAAAAAAAAAU